rnacentral:rRNA from 1 species
CUCUCUAGCUUAGAGAACACGAAAGGCUACAUAUGAAAACUAGCCGGAAGGCGGAUUUAGAAGUAAAAGGAAACAAGAGCGUCCUUUUUAACUCGGCACUGGGGUGUGUACACACCGCCCGUCACCCUCUUCAAAGCUAAUAAACAGUAUUUAACUAAAUUAUGCACUAUAGAAGAGGCAAGUCGUAACAUGGUAAGUAUACCGGAAGGUGUGCUUGGAAA